ensembl:lncRNA
CAGAAAUGGGCUGAAAAAGGAAGGGUACAGUGAUGCAGGUGCAAAAUGCUACGUGUGUGCAGAAAUAGGGUAACUAGACCGAUCUGGGACAGGGAACAGUUGUUUAGCCAGCAGUUCUCUUUCGAGAAGACUCUAGGUUUAUAGUAGAUCACAUGCUGAACAUGAAUCAGCUGUAUCAUGGGAUUGCAAAAGAGACAAACAUUGUAUUGGGUUCUGGUAAGAGGAAUGCAGCUUGCAAGACAGAUGAAGUCAUCCUUCUGCUCCACUUAUCAUUGAUCAUCAAUGAAGAUCUUACUGGUGCCCACUACCAACUGGUGAGGAACACUGGCCUGCAGCUGGGUUUGUGCUACUAACUGUAACCAGUCAAGCCUGGUAAUUCAGAUCCUACACUCCAUCAUCUCAUGCUCAUGGCAGCCAAGACUUCCCCGUCCCUUGACAUGCUGGACCAGUCCUUCCUUGUUUUAUCAGAAGACACAGAGAGCUGACUCUGAAGAGCGCUGACCCGCUACCUCUCUUGUCCCUGAAGAGAAUAAGCAAAUACGUGUUUUGGAGCUAUUUUACACCGAUGUCCAUUACGUUACACAUUGCUGGGAAGGAUGGGAAACAGCAGAAAAGAGGAUUUUUCCACGUCCUGCCUACCUCUUUCACACUUGAAUUCUCUCUGAUUUUGCUCAUUGUUUUAGACAGGUUCCUGAGAUCCAUGGGCUAUUCUUUUUACACUUCCUGAUCUCACACAGACUGUCAUUUAAUCUUGUAAAGUGUUUUGAAACACUGCUCAUAUAAAAG